UCAAUUUAGAUAUGUGAGAAAACCGGUUGGAACUUGCCUUAACCAAGAAAAGCUACAAAAUAUUUUUUUUCUGACAAAAAAAAGAAAAAGAAAAUCGAUUUUGUGGUUUUCUUGGUUAAGCCAGGUUCAAACCGAUUUACAUGCAUGUGUUGGAUGUGUGA